rnacentral:pre_miRNA from 1 species
UUUUCUUCGCUUUGUAGGCGAACAUGUGUCUAGUUCACGGUGUCAUUUAAAGUUUCGUGACUAGAUUACAUGCUCGUCUAUAAAGCUGAGAU